CGCCCAAAAGUUGCUGGAUAAGAAGGCGAAUCAAUUUGCUUGAUAUAAUGUACGAAAACGUUACACGAAACAAAUGAAAAGGUUUUUUUGAUACGGAAACGUCAAACGGAAAAAAAAUUAAACCCUUUUCCAUUCUUCUCAAUUGUAUAACAUAUUUAUCCACACUCCUUUUUGGAAUGUUCCUCCAUCCUGUUCUAGGUCUGCCUAGAAGUCUUUUACUUCUCAUUUCCUCCAUCAAUUCUUGCUUGAUAAUUUGGUCAUCUGCCCUGCAUACAUAUCCUAGCCCUUUAAAUAGAUACAUUUAAUUAUAAUUGACCAUAUUAUUUUGACCGGUCAAUUGACUAAGUGCCAAUUCUAAUAUUACACAAUUAUUACUCUUAACAAUAAAUUAUGAUAACAUUUUACAAUAUUGAAAAUAAUAAUGUUACUUGAUGCCAGUUCAAAU